rnacentral:rRNA from 1 species
AUUGAACGCUGGCGGCGUGCUUAACACAUGCAAGUCGAUCGGUAACAGGUGUAGCAAUACAUGCUGACGAGAGGCGGACGGGUGAGUAAUGCUUGGGAAUCUGCCUAUUAGUGGGGGACAACCCGGGGAAACUCGGGCUAAUACCGCAUACGCUCUACGGAGGAAAGCCGGGGACCGCAAGGCCUGGCGCUAAUAGAUGAGCCCAAGUCGGAUUAGCUAGUUGGUAGGGAACGGCCUACCAAGGCGACAAUCCGUAGCUGGUCUGAGAGGACGACCAGCCACACCGGAACUGAGACACGGUCCGGACUCCUACGGGAGGCAGCAGUGGGGAAUAUUGGACAAUGGGGCAACCCUGAUCCAGCGACGCCGCGUGGGUGAAGAAGGCCUGCGGGUUGUAAAGCCCUUUCGGUGGGGAAGAAAAGUCUCGACCUAAUACGUCGGGACCUUGACGUAACCACUAAAGAAGCACCGGCUAACUCUGUGCCAGCCG